AGCCAGACUCCUACGGGAGGCAGCAGUGGGGAAUAUUGCACAAUGGGGGAAACCCUGAUGCAGCGACGCCGCGUGAGUGAAGAAGUAUUUCGGUAUGUAAAGCUCUAUCAGCAGGGAAGAAAAUGACGGUACCUGACUAAGAAGCCCCGGCUAACUACGUGCCAGCAGCCGCGGUAAUACGUAGGGGGCAAGCGUUAUCCGGAUUUACUGGGUGUAAAGGGAGCGUAGACGGCAUGGCAAGUCAGAUGUGAAAGCCCGGGGCUCAACCCCGGGACUGCAUUUGAAACUGUCAGGCUGGAGUGCAGGAGAGGUAAGUGGAAUUCCUAGUGUAGCGGUGAAAUGCGUAGAUAUUAGGAGGAACACCAGUGGCGAAGGCGGCUUACUGGACUGUAACUGACGUUGAGGCUCGAAAGCGUGGGGAGCAAACAGGAUUAGAUACCCGAGUAGC
rnacentral:rRNA from 1 species